rnacentral:rRNA from 1 species
CAGUCGCCGCGGUAAUACGGAGGGGGCUAGCGUUGUUCGGAAUUACUGGGCGUAAAGCGCACGUAGGCGGCUUGGUAAGUUAGAGGUGAAAGCCUGGAGCUCAACUCCAGAAUUGCCUUUAAGACUGCCGAGCUAGCAGGUGAGAGAGGUAAGUGGAAUUCCGAGUGUAGAGGUGAAAUUCGUAGAUAUUCGGAAGAACACCAGUGGCGAAGGCGGCUUACUGGCUCAUACUGGACGCUGAGGUGCGAAAGCGUGGGGAGCAAACAGGAUUAGAUACCCGAGUAGUCCCUGUCUCUUAUAC